UCCGGAUGAAAGAGAUAGGAUACACUACACUUCUGUGUCUCUCUCCCUCGUGUCGCUAUUCCUUUUUUUUGCGUCGUCAUCGUCAACACCAUAAUACACUAUAUAAAUAGACUAAGCGAUCUGCUGAGACCAGGCUGCUCCUCUCCUUCCAUCCUCAAACUGGAGCUGCUCCUUAGGCGAUAAGGAAAUUGGUGUACUCAGCUAUAAAAAAUGACCGAUAGCAGUGAGAUGGAUUCCCUGGUAGUUCCUGAAUUAUCUCCAGAUAUGGUACUCGGCUAUAUUAGUCAAAUUCUUAUGGAAGAGGACAUGGAUGACAAAUUCGAUGUGCUUCAUCGGCUUCGUCACCACGCUCCUCGUCUUCGGCAAGCUCUACCGCCAUCGGGCCGGCGGGGCUUGAUCCGACACUUCCGCCGCCUCCCGAUCCAUGGGCAUUCACAGCUGUGACUCCGUACACUUUGGUUGCUUGCUUUGAUUCUCUUUGCUGAAUCGUCCCUCUUGUUCUGUCUUUUGGGUGCUUUUACUUUUUGCUGUUCUGAUCUUAGCGCAUGGAUGAAGCGUACUUGAGAACAGGUUUCUCUUCUUGCAGGUGUAUGCAAAGUUCUGCAAUGAUCUGUUAACAUAUA